GCCUUCGUGGUGUAAUGCUUAGCACACUCGACCAUAACCGAGAGAUCCGUGGUUCGAUUCCCGGCGAAGGCA
rnacentral:tRNA from 1 species